rnacentral:rRNA from 1 species
GACGAACGCUGGCGGCGUGCCUAAUACAUGCAAGUUGAGCGCUGAAGGUUGGUACUUGUACCAACUGGAUGAGCAGCGAACGGGUGAGUAACGCGUGGGGAAUCUGCCUUUGAGCGGGGGACAACAUUUGGAAACGAAUGCUAAUACCGCAUAAAAACUUUAAACACAAGUUUUAAGUUUGAAAGAUGCAAUUGCAUCACUCAAAGAUGAUCCCGCGUUGUAUUAGCUAGUUGGUGAGGUAAAGGCUCACCAAGGCGAUGAUACAUAGCCGACCUGAGAGGGUGAUCGGCCAAAUUGGGACUGGGACACGGCCCAAACUCCUACGGGAGGCAGCAGUAGGGAAUCUUCGGCAAUGGACGAAAGUCUGACCGAGCAACGCCGCGUGAGUGAAGAAGGGUUUCGGAUCGGAAAACUCUGUUGGUAGAGAAGAACGUUGGUGAGAGUGGAAAGCUCAUCAAGUGACGGUAACUACCCAGAAAGGGACGGCUAACUACGUG